rnacentral:rRNA from 1 species
AGAGUUUGAUCAUGGCUCAGGACGAACGCUGGCGGCGUGCUUAACACAUGCAAGUCGAACGGGGCUCAUCGCUUCGGUGGUGGGUUCAGUGGCGAACGGGUGAGUAACACGUGGGCAACCUGCCCCCGGCUCUGGGAUAACUCCAAGAAAUUGGGGCUAAUACCGGAUGUCCUCUGCUGGCCGCAUGGUUGGUGGUGGAAAGGGUUUCCGGCUGGGGAUGGGCCCGCGGCCUAUCAGCUUGUUGGUGGGGUAGUGGCCUACCAAGGCGACGACGGGUAGCCGGCCUGAGAGGGUGACCGGCCACACUGGGACUGAGACACGGCCCAGACUCCUACGGGAGGCAGCAGUGGGGAAUAUUGCGCAAUGGGCGGAAGCCUGACGCAGCGACGCCGCGUGGGGGAUGACGGCCUUCGGGUUGUAAACCUCUUUCAGCAGGGACGAAGCCGGAAGGUGACGGUACCUGCAGAAGAAGCACCGGCCAACUACGUGCCAGCAGCCGCGGUAAUACGUAGGGUGCAAGCGUUGUCCGGAAUUAUUGGGCGUAAAGAGCUCGUAGGCGGUUCGUCGCGUCGGCUGUGAAAACCCAGAGCUCAACUCCGGGCCUGCAGUCGAUACGGGCGGACUGGAGUUCGGCAGGGGAGACUGGAAUUCCUGGUGUAGCGGUGAAAUGCGCAGAUAUCAGGAGGAACACCGGUGGCGAAGGCGGGUCUCUGGGCCGAUACUGACGCUGAGGAGCGAAAGCGUGGGGAGCGAACAGGAUUAGAUACCCUAGUAGUCC